GAUGAACGCUGGCGGCGUGCCUAAUACAUGCAAGUCGAGCGAACGGACGAUAAGCUUGCUUUUCUGAUGUUAGCGGCGGACGGGUGAGUAACACGUGGAUCACCUACCUAUAUGACUGGGAUAACUUCGGGAAACCGGAGCUAAUACCGGAUAAUAUUUUGAACCGCAUGGUUCAAAAGUGAAAGACGGUCUUGCUGUCUCUUAUAGAUGGAUCCGCGCUGCAUUAGCUAGUUGGUAAGGUAACGGCUUACCAAGGCAACGAUGCAUAGCCGACCUGAGAGGGUGAUCGGCCACACUGGAACUGAGACACGGUCCAGACUCCUACGGGAGGCAGCAGUAGGGAAUCUUCCGCAAUGGGCGAAAGCCUGACGGAGCAACGCCGCGUGAGUGAUGAAGGUCUUCGGAUCGUAAAACUCUGUUAUUAGGGAAGAACAGAUGUGGAAGUAACUGUGGACAUCUUGACGGUACCUAAUCAGAAAGCAACGGCUAACUACGUG
rnacentral:rRNA from 1 species